ensembl:lncRNA
UUGCCAGGGCUACGCGGCUUGUCUUCCAUGACCGAUCAGCACAGUGAGAAAAAGCAGGGACAUGAUGUCCUGGCUUACUGCACAAGAAUCAUUCUAGAAGGGCAAAGCAACGAACAGGAGAACAUUUCUUUCUUUCAUGAAACCAUUCGGUGCCAGACACUCUGGAAGAUCAGCAUGCCUGUUGCUAGCUAUUGGUGUCCAAAACACUUCAGUCAGUGCAGUGAGAAGGUUGAGUGACAACCCCUUCCUAGUAUACCACUUUUGAACAGGACAGUGUGGAACAGCUCGUUCAAAGCAGAGUAAACACACAAACAGAAAGAUGUCAAACAUAAAUUCUGGAUUUCUGGCACACCCUGGAUGUGCUGAGCACCACUUUCAUUCAGUUGAAGAUUAGGCUAUGUUUACUUCUCCUCUUCCACCUUACGCCAGCUGAAAGGGUCAAUAUAGCAGCCUACCACUGAAAGAGGAAAGCCGAGCACACUCAGAAUGUUCCAGCAAAGCCUUUUCCAAAAAGAGCUCUGACUACUUUACUGCACAAAGAAGGAAGGGAAAAAAAGGAAAGUGAACUGAAUUCCUCUACUGCCUCUUUUUGAUGUGCAGCCAUGUACAGAAAUCUGCAUUUAUAAACUGUUAUCUGUCCAAUACAUUGAAUUUGAGCUGUGUUUUAUGAAGCAUGCAAUAGUAAUUAAAGUGAUCUUUUG